AAGUAUUGAGGAGGCAGAGCUGAGCUGCUCAAGUGCCACAGCCUGGCACACAUCCUUGCUCACCCUAUCCUCCUGGCCCCUCCUUGUCUGGCAUACAGAGCUCUUAAUAUCAAUUAAGGAGAAGGACGCAUAGAGGACCACAUGAGCUCUUUGGCCAAUCAGGGCCUCCUGCCAUGCUCCCCUAGGUCUGCCUAGUCGGCGAGGAGCUAGUUAGUCGUGAGGAGUAACAGUCAGGAGAGGAGAGGGAGUAGAGGUCAAGUCCAGACCUCUGCUGUGUGACCUGUACCUCACCAUAUGAGGACAAGCCUAAGAGACCCAGUUGCAAGAUUCUAGUUCCUGAGCAACAUUACCCUUCACCAGGAUCCCACCAACCAGGGUGUCCAACAGUCAAGGCCGUCCACGUCAAGUUCAGACAAAAGUCAACUUUGGGGAGAAGCGCAAGAAAGUUGAAUAAGCCAAAGAAGAGGAUAACGUAACUGAUAGACUCCGGCAGCUCCAGUCCAUACAAGUCCACCCUGGCGUCAGUCAGCCUGUUCAAGUCAAGUUCAGACCAGUCUGGAGGACCACAAGUGGAGGACCAAAAGUGCCAAAGUGCCAAGAAGCAACUGUGCUUCUCUAUAGCAUCUUUCAUCGUAUAUCACACUUUAACUGAACUGUGCCUGUUAUAUUACCUGUUUGCAAUA